rnacentral:lncRNA from 1 species
UGAAUUCGAAGAUGAUAUGGGGGAGAUGUAUCAAAAUGGGUUGUCCACUGAUAAUAUUGCAGAUGCAUAUUACCCUGAGGAUGAUGGAUACGGCUAUAACGAUGAUGAUUAUUACUGAAAAGAUGUCAGAUGAUGGAUACGGCUAUAACGAUGAUGAUUAUUACUGAAAAUAUGUCAGAUGAUGGAUACGGCUAUAGCAAUUGAUACUUAACAUGUCUGGUAGCAGUGGAAACAAAAUUGUCAGACUCAACUUUUUGAAAGCUAAGUUGCCAUCUGAUUAGCAAGUAUCACUACAUGAGCUUUACCUCUCUUUUUAAUCAUCCCACAUGCUUUUAAAGAAAGCUUGGGACUUGUAGAGCCAGGAAAUUGUUAGGUAGGUAUUACCAGCAUCUCUCUGUUCAACACAAAAUAGGGGGUUAGAUUGUGUUUUAUAUUAAAAUGUACUUAUUUCCAACCAUUUUUUAAAAAUUUGACAAAAAAGUUAAAUUGGUUAUAUAUGUUUUGAAUGUAAAAUUCUGUUAUGAUUCUUUC